GAUGAAGAACGCAGCGAAAUGCGAUAAGUAAUGUGAAUUGCAGAAUUCAGUGAAUCAUCGAAUCUUUGAACGCACAUUGCGCCCCUUGGUAUUCCAUGGGGCAUGCCUGUUCGAGCGUCAUUUGUACCUUCAAGCCUUGCUUGGAGUUGGGUGUUUGUCUCGCCUCUGCGCGCAGACUCGCCUCAAAACAAUUGGCAGCCGGCGUAUUGAUUUCGGAGCGCAGUACAUCUCGCGCUUUGCACUCAGAACGACGACGUCCAAAAGUACAUUUUUACACUCUUGACCUCGGAUCAGGUAGGGAUACCCGCUGAACUUAAGCAUAUCAAUAAGCGGAGGA
rnacentral:misc_RNA from 1 species